AUUGAACGCUGGCGGCAGGCUUAACACAUGCAAGUCGAGUGGUAGCACAGGGGAGCUUGCUCCCUGGGUGACGAGCGGCGGACGGGUGAGUAAUGUCUGGGAAACUGCCUGAUGGAGGGGGAUAACUACUGGAAACGGUAGCUAAUACCGCAUAACGUCGCAAGACCAAAGAGGGGGACCUUCGGGCCUCUUGCCAUCAGAUGUGCCCAGAUGGGAUUAGCUAGUAGGUGGGGUAAUGGCUCACCUAGGCGACGAUCCCUAGCUGGUCUGAGAGGAUGACCAGCCACACUGGAACUGAGACACGGUCCAGACUCCUACGGGAGGCAGCAGUGGGGAAUAUUGCACAAUGGGCGCAAGCCUGAUGCAGCCAUGCCGCGUGUGUGAAGAAGGCCUUCGGGUUGUAAAGCACUUUCAGCGAGGAGGAAGGUGGUGAGCUUAAUACGUUCAUCAAUUGACGUUACUCGCAGAAGAAGCACCGGCUAACUCCGUG
rnacentral:rRNA from 1 species